GCAAGUCGAACGAUGAUCAGGAGCUUGCUUCUGUGAUUAGUGGCGAACGGGUGAGUAACACGUGAGUAACCUGCCCCUGACUCUGGGAUAAGCGUUGGAAACGACGUCUAAUACUGGAUAUGACUUCCGGCCGCAUGGUCUGGUUGUGGAAAGAUUUUUUGGUUGGGGAUGGACUCGCGGCCUAUCAGCUUGUUGGUGAGGUAAUGGCUCACCAAGGCGACGACGGGUAGCCGGCCUGAGAGGGUGACCGGCCACACUGGGACUGAGACACGGCCCACACUCCUACGGGAGGCAGCAGUGGGGAAUAUUGCACAAUGGGCGAAAGCCUGAUGCAGCAACGCCGCGUGAGGGAUGACGGCCUUCGGGUUGUAAACCUCUUUUAGUAGGGAAGAAGCGAAAGUGACGGUACCUGCAGAAAAAGCACCGGCUAACUACGUGCCAGCAGCCGCGGUAAUACGUAGGGUGCAAGCGUUGUCCGGAAUUAUUGGGCGUAAAGAGCUCGUAGGCGGUUUGUCGCGUCUGCUGUGAAAUCCCGAGGCUCAACCUCGGGCUUGCAGUGGGUACGGGCAGACUACAGUGCGGUAGGGGAGAUUGGAAUUCCUGGUGUAGCGGUGGAAUGCGCAGAUAU
rnacentral:rRNA from 1 species